rnacentral:rRNA from 1 species
GAACGGGUGAGUACACGUGGGUGAUCUGCCCUGCACUUUGGGAUAAGCCUGGGAAACUGGGUCUAAUACCGAAUAGGACCACGCGCUUCAUGGUGUGUGGUGGAAAGCUUUUGCGGUGUGGGAUGGGCCCGCNGNNNAUCAGCUUGUUGGUGGGGUAAUGGCCUACCAAGGCGACGACGGGUAGCCGGCCUGAGAGGGUGACCGGCCACACUGGGACUGAGAUACGGCCCAGACUCCUACGGGAGGCAGCAGUGGGGAAUAUUGCACAAUGGGCGCAAGCCUGAUGCAGCGACGCCGCGUGAGGGAUGACGGCCUUCGGGUUGUAAACCUCUUUCAAUAGGGACGAAGCGCAAGUGACGGUACCUAUAGAAGAAGCACCGGCCAACUACGUGCCAGCAGCCGCGGUAAUACGUAGGGUGCGAGCGUUGUCCGGAAUUACUGGGCGUAAAGAGCUCGUAGGUGGUUUGUCGCGUUGUUCGUGAAAACUCACAGCUUAACUGUGGGCGUGCGGGCGAUACGGGCAGACUAGAGUACUGCAGGGGAGACUGGAAUUCCUGGUGUAGCGGUGGAAUGCGCAGAUAUCAGGAGGAACACCGGUGGCGAAGGCGGGUCUCUGGGCAGUAACUGACGCUGAGGAGCGAAAGCGUGGGGAGCGAACAGGAUUAGAUACCCUGGUAGUCCACGCUGUAAACGGUGGGUACUAGGUGUGGGUUCCUUCCUUGGGAUCCGUGCCGUAGCUAACGCAUUAAGUACCCCGCCUGGGGAGUACGGCCGCAAGGCUAAAACUCAAAGGAGUUGACGGGGGCCCGCACAAGCGGCGGAGCAUGUGGAUUAAUUCG